rnacentral:rRNA from 1 species
CACACCGCCCGUCACACCAUGGAAGUUGGUUGCACCAGAAGUCGGUCGCUUAACCGCAAGGAGAGCGCCGCCACGGUGUGGCUAAUGACUGGGGUG